UACGGAGGGUGCGAGCGUUAUCCGGAGUUACUGGGCGUAAAGGGCGUGUAGGCGGUUUGUUAAGUCUGGCGUGAAAGCUCUCGGCUAAACCGGGAGAGGUCGUUGGAUACUGGCAAACUAGAGGACGGUAGAGGCGUGUGGAAUUCCGGGUGUAGUGGUGAAAUGCGUAGAGAUCCGGAGGAACACCAGUGGCGAAGGCGACACGCUGGGCCGUACCUGACGCUAAAGCGCGACAGCAUGGGGAGCAAACGGG
rnacentral:rRNA from 1 species